AGUGAACGCUGGCGGUAGGCCUAACACAUGCAAGUCGAACGGCAGCACAGUAAGAGCUUGCUCUUACGGGUGGCGAGUGGCGGACGGGUGAGGAAUACAUCGGAAUCUACUUUUUCGUGGGGGAUAACGUAGGGAAACUUACGCUAAUACCGCAUACGACCUACGGGUGAAAGCAGGGGAUCUUCGGACCUUGCGCGAUUGAAUGAGCCGAUGUCGGAUUAGCUAGUUGGCGGGGUAAAGGCCCACCAAGGCGACGAUCCGUAGCUGGUCUGAGAGGAUGAUCAGCCAAACUGGAACUGAGACACGGUCCAGACUCCUACGGGAGGCAGCAGUGGGGAAUAUUGGACAAUGGGCGCAAGCCUGAUCCAGCCAUACCGCGUGGGUGAAGAAGGCCUUCGGGUUGUAAAGCCCUUUUGUUGGGAAAGAAAAGCAGCAGGUUAAUACCCCGCUGUCCUGACGGUACCCAAAGAAUAAGCACCGGCUAACUUCGUG
rnacentral:rRNA from 1 species